rnacentral:pre_miRNA from 1 species
ACUUAAAGAAGAGCAAAGAAAGUGGUUUCUUGAAAUGGAAUCUACUUCUUAUGAAGAUGCUGUGAA